AUUGAACGCUGGCGGUAGGCCUAACACAUGCAAGUCGAACGAUAGCACAGAGAGCUCGCUCUCGGGUGACGAGUGGCGGACGGGUGAGUAAUGUCUGGGAAACUGCCUGAUGGAGGGGGAUAACUACUGGAAACGGUAGCUAAUACCGCAUAAUGUCGCAAGACCAAAGAGGGGGACCUUCGGGCCUCUUGCCAUCGGAUGUGCCCAGAUGGGAUUAGCUUGUUGGUGAGGUAAAGGCUCACCAAGGCGACGAUCCCUAGCUGGUCUGAGAGGAUGACCAGCCACACUGGAACUGAGACACGGUCCAGACUCCUACGGGAGGCAGCAGUGGGGAAUAUUGCACAAUGGGCGCAAGCCUGAUGCAGCCAUGCCGCGUGUGUGAAGAAGGCCUUCGGGUUGUAAAGCACUUUCAGCGGGGAGGAAGGCGGUGAGUUUAAUAAGCUCACCGAUUGACGUUACCCGCAGAAGAAGCACCGGCUAACUCCGUGCCAGCCGCCGCAGUAA
rnacentral:rRNA from 1 species